GUUGGCUGCUGGUCACUGGGCCAAAAUCACUAGCACAUUGUCUGAAAGCAUGCCACUAGAGAUAGAAGCCUUAUUCUAUGUGCCAGUUACCCAUCUGAAGUGGCUGAAUCUUUUUCCUUCCAAUUGCCACUCAUUGGAUGCCUUGUUUAUUGCACUAUUCCCUACAAUCACUAGGGAAUGUUGUGCUUGAAGAUCCCAGGAGAUCAGCAGUUUUUGAGGACAGAACUAUUUUUACUGGUGGUCUACAGCCUGGAAAUGAGCAAGAGGAUAUUUAUAUGCUUUGCAACUUUGCAACUGACAGCAUGAACGCUUCAGAUGAAGCUGCAAGUAGGAAGGUAUUACACAAAAGCAAAGUGGAUAACCUUCUGGGCUAAUAUCCAGAGAACUGGUUGAGAAUUUUAUUCCUACUACAACAACAGGGGAAGUUAAAUUCAAGUAAUUCAAUAGAUGUGGAAAUAAAAAUGAAUACAAAUAAUGGUGAGUGUUAAACUACUGAUUUGUUGUCUCACAUUCUGAUCUGGAAUAAUUCAAACCAAUAUUCAAAAUUCGUGAUUCAAGAUUUGUAAUGUUACUUCCUGUACACGAGUGUAAACAAGAAUGAAAUGAUUGUUACUCCAGAUCCGAUGAAGCAUAAAAAAAACACAGAAGUUAAAGAUAACACUAAAAAUUUUAAAAAAACACAAAUAGCUUAUAUACAUAGAUUGAUUGUAUGUCCAUAAAGCACUGCUAGGCUAUAUAUAGGUGUCUGACAAGAAUUAAGAAAGUAGCGGUGGAGUUAAAGGGUCGAGGUGUUGAUCAGCCUUACUGUUUCAGGAAAGUAACUGCGUUUCAGUCUGGUGGUCCUGGUGUGGAUGUUAUGUAGACUCCUCCCUCAUAGGAGUUUGUCAAACAAUCCAUGAGCAGGGUGGGUGGGAUACCCCCUGAUAUUUCUGGCUCUUUCCCAGCACCUUUCUGUAUAUAUGUCUUUGGUGGCAUGUAGGCUGGUGCCAGAGAUGAAUUUUGCAGUUUUGACUACCCGUUGUAGUUUUCCUGUCUGGCAGUGCAGUUUCUGCACCAAGCAGUUUGUCAGGAUGCUCUCUACUGCCAUCUGUAGAACAAAUUGAAUAUAGGCAUGCAAAGUCCAGCUCACUUCAGCCUCCUCAAACAGCAACAGUUAAGUUUCCUUAACUGUGGUGAAUGUGUUCUGGGACCCUGAGAGGUUGUGUGUGAUGUGCACUCAAGGAUUUUGAAACCGCUUGCAGUUUCCACUGCUGUGCAGCUGAUGUAAAUGAUAAGCACCACUACUGCUAUGUCAUCUGCCAACUUGAAACUGAUUGUAAUAUUGCAGUAAACUCACCUUACUGCGCAGGACACCGCUGGAAUCUAGGGCAGCAAUGAAGAUCCUCCAUUUCUGUCAGUCCUUCGCCACUCAGAGGAUUCCUGACAGCUGUUUCCCUAAUGGUUUUGUUUUACCAGUCAAGGAUGUUAGCCCCGAGCUAAACCCCCAAACCUGGAAGACCGAAGAACCACUCUUCGUCUGACCUCUACCCUUUGACCUGUUUGCCAUGGGUGACCCAACCAAGGGUCAAAGCAUAAAGCCAUGACUCCAGCCAACAUAACAUUCCAGGUCAUUAAGGCAUGCAAGCAUCCAAACGAUGAUAAUGUUGUGGUGCUCUUGGAGAGUGGCAAACUCAACUGCUGUUGAACUGAUGCAUCAAACAAGACAGAUUGGGAUAUUUUGGGCUGGGUAAUUAAUAUAGAUCUGACAAAACUCUUGAAGGAAUUUAAAAGUAAGAGAGUUCAGAUGUGACCUUUUUUGUUCUUCCCAGUCAUUUGAAAGAUUUUCCUUUCAAUGGCUAUUUCUAUGCACUAAUUGGGUGGCAUGGUAGCAUAGUAGUUAGUGCAAUGCUGUACAGUACCAGAGAUAGUCGAUUCCCACCGCUGUCUGAAAGGAGUUUGCUAUGUUUUCCCUGUGACUAUAUGGGUUUCCUCUGGGUGCUGCAGUCUCCUCCUAUGGUCCUAAAAGACAGACUGGUUAAGAUUAGGUUUAGUUAUUUGUGGGCCUGCUUUGUUGGUGCCGAAAGAGUGGUGACAUUUGCAA